rnacentral:rRNA from 1 species
AUUGUAGUCAUAUGCUUGUCUCGCAGAUUAAGCCAUGCAUGUCUAAGUGUAAAUAUUUUACAGUGAAACUGCGGAUGGCUCAUUAAAACAGUUAUUGUUUGCUUGGAAAAUUUCCUUACGGAUAUCCGUGGAAAUGCUACAGUUAAUACGUAACAGCUUCACUUGAAGUGUUGCAUAUUACUGUGAACUCUCAACGGAGGAAAACUUCCGUUUGUUACGAAUACUUUUAUGCACGAAUCGUAUGUCUCAUACGGUGGUCCAUCAAAGUUUCUGCCCCAUCAGGUUCCGACGGUAAGGUAUUGGCUUACCGUGCCUACAACGGGUAACGGGGAAUAAU